rnacentral:rRNA from 1 species
GUUUAAGCCGCCGCGGUAAUACGUAGGGGGCAAGCGUUGUCCGGAUUUAUUGGGCGUAAAGCGCGUGUAGGCGGCCAGGUAGGUCUGCUGUGAAAACUCGAGGCUCAACCUCGAGACGUCGGCAGAAACCCUCUGGCUAGAGUCCGGAAGAGGAGAGUGGAAUUCCUGGUGUAGCGGUGAAAUGCGCAGAUAUCAGGAAGAACACCCGUGGCGAAGGCGGCUCUCUGGGACGGUACUGACGCUGAGACGCGAAAGCGUGGGGAGCGAACAGGAUUAGAAACCCUUGUAGUCC